rnacentral:tRNA from 1 species
AGCAGUGUGGCUCAGUGGAAAGAGCACGGGCUUGGGAGUCAGAGGUCAUGGGUUCGAAUCCCGGCUCGGCCA